GAUGAACGCUGGCGGCGUGCCUAACACAUGCAAGUCGAACGGAAAGGCCAGUGCUUGCACUGUUACUCGAGUGGCGAAGGAGUGAGUAACACGUGUGUGUUCUGCCCUGCACUCUGGGAUAUGCCUUGGAAACUGGGUCUCAUACCGGAUAUGAACUGCUUUUAGUGUGGUGGCUGGAAAGUAUUUUCGGUUCAAGAUGAGCUCUCGGGGUAUCAGCGUGUGGGUGGGGUAUUGGCCUACCAAGGCGUAGACGGGUAGCCGGCAUGAGAGGGGGAGCGGCCACACGGGAACUGAGACACGGUCCAGACGACUGAGGGAGGCAGCAGUAGGGAAGAGUGCGCAAGGGGCGAAAGCUGGACGGAGGAAAGCCGCGUGAGGGAGGAAGGUCGUCGGAGCGGAAAACUGGGGUAUGAGGGAAGAACAAAUGUGUAAGGAACUAGGAACGGAUUGACGGUACCUAAUCAGAAAGCAACGGCGAACUACGUG
rnacentral:rRNA from 1 species